UACGGAGGGUGCGAGCGUUGUCCGGAAUCACUGGGCGUAAAGGGCGCGUAGGCGGCUUCUCAAGCGUGUGGUGAAAGUCCGGGGCUCAACCCCGGAUCGGCCGCGCGGACUGGGGAGCUCGAGUUCUGUAGAGGCGGGUGGAAUUCCGGGUGUAGCGGUGGAAUGCGUAGAGAUCCGGAAGAACACCAGUGGCGAAGGCGGCUCACUGGCUCAUACUGGACGCUGAGGUGCGAAAGCGUGGGGAGCAAACAGG
rnacentral:rRNA from 1 species